rnacentral:ncRNA from 1 species
GUUUUGGUCCUAAACUUGCCCUUGUUUUUUACUAAAAUUAUACAUGCAAGCCUCCACACACCAGUGAGAAUGCCCAUACACCCCUAAACAGCAAACCGGAGCAGGCAUCAGGAUACAACAACACAAUUUAGCCAAAGACGCCUUGCACAUGCCACACCCACACGGGCCUUCAGCAGUAAUUAACAUUAAGACAUGAGCGAAAGCUCGACUUAGUUACGGUAAAUUAUGGUCGGUAAAUUUCGUGCCAGCCACCGCGGUUAUACGAAAGACCAAAAACAACGGCCCACGGCGUAAAGCGUGACUAGAGAACUAUGCACUUAGGGGAGAACGACAGCCAAGUAGUAAAACACCCAUGCACGCCAGAAUAACCCCACCCCUAAUACCACCCUACCUCACGAAAGCUAAGAAACAAACUGGGAUUAGAUACCCCACUAUGCUUAGCCCUAAACAUAGACAGUAAAAAUACAAUACUGUUCGCCAGAGAACUACGAAUGAAAAAUUUAAAACUCUAAGGACUUGGCGGUGCUUCAAACCAACCUAGAGGAGCCUGUCCUGUAAUCGAUACCCCGCGCUUUACCUUACCCCCCCUAGCCAAACAGCCUAUAUACCGCCGUCGUCAGCUUACCUUAUGAAAGAAGAAAAGUAAGCAAAAAAGUUAAUAACUAGUACGUCAGGUCAAGGUGUAGCACACGGAGGGGCAGAGAUGGGCUACAUUUUCCCAAAGGGAAAAUACAAACGGUGGACUGAAACACACACCUGAAGGAGGAUUUAGCAGUAAAAUAACUAAGAAUAGUCAUUUUAAACCUGCUCUGAAGCGCGCACACACCGCCCGUCACCCUCAUCACAUGCCUCACAAUAC